GUCUACGGCCAUACCACCCUGAACGCGCCCGAUCUCGUCUGAUCUCGGAAGCUAAGCAGGGGUCGGGCCCGGUUAGUACUUGGAUGGGAGACCGCCUGGGAAUACCGGGUGCUGUAGGCU
rnacentral:rRNA from 1 species